rnacentral:rRNA from 1 species
AGCGAACGCUGGCGGCAGGCUUAACACAUGCAAGUCGAGCGGGCACUGUCGGGUGUCAGCGGCGGACGGGUGAGUAACGCGUGGGAACGUGCCCUCUGGUUCGGAAUAACUCAGGGAAACUUGAGCUAAUACCGGAUACGCCCUUUUGGGGAAAGGCUUGCUGCCGGAGGAUCGGCCCGCGUCUGAUUAGCUAGUUGGUGAGGUAACGGCUCACCAAGGCGACGAUCAGUAGCUGGUCUGAGAGGAUGAUCAGCCACACUGGGACUGAGACACGGCCCAGACUCCUACGGGAGGCAGCAGUGGGGAAUAUUGGACAAUGGGCGCAAGCCUGAUCCAGCCAGGCCGCGUGAGUGAUGAAGGCCUUAGGGUUGUAAAGCUCUUUUAUCCGGGACGAUAAUGACGGUACCGGAGGAAUAAGCCCCGGCUAACUUCGUG